CUACAAUGGGUAGUACAGUAGGUUGCAAUAGAGCGAUCUGGAGCUAAUCCACAAAGCUAUCCUCAGUUCAGAUUGCAGGCUGAAAUUCGCCUGCAUGAAGAUGGAGUUGCUAGUAACCGCAGGUCAGCAAUACUGCGGUGAAUACGUUCCCGGGUCUU
rnacentral:rRNA from 1 species